CACUCCUGUGUUGGAGAUGCAUCGACUCACAUACUGCAUAAAUAUUUUAGAUUUUACUGUGAAGCAAACAAUUCACUCCUCAGACCCUCAUUCACCCAAGUCCACAUCUGGACUUGAGGUUUGGCUUCUCUGGUCCUAACUGGGACUUAUCUGACCCUGACAGGAGAUAACUUCAGUAGGGACUUUGCCUAAUAGCGAGCAUGCACACUUCAACUUGGCUUGCUCUGAAGGUAACAUUUACUCAUUAUAAUGGUAAAAAAAAAAAAAAAAAGCCCCUGGGUGGAGAUUUCAGUCAUUACUAAGACGUGUGAUGUAUGUACUAGCAUGUAUCACCAUAGAGCAUGUGCUCCCAGGAGACCACCCAAAACGUGUUUGCUAGUAACACCCCUUCCCAACCCCUUUCAUGAAUAAUCAUAUAAGACCCUCAUAAGGGAGCUUCCCCAGUGCCGAUCUACGCUGUCUCUUUUUCCAAGCAGCCCACUCUGACUUGGCUUUUAGAGUGUACUCUCUCUUUAAAUAAACUCUGCAGCUGCUUCACUGUCACUGCUCACUUCUUGGCUGAAUUCUUUCCUCCAAAAGACAAGAACUGAAGACCCCACACCUCCUGGUAACAUUACCAACUCUUUCUCCUUUUUCUCUGGAGCUGGUGCUCAGAUGGUGAGAGCCCUGUGCUAAUGGUCCCAGGGUGGGAGCCUGUUUGCCCCUGUCUGGUCCUCAGCAAUGUCCUUGGUUAGCUGCCUGGCAACAGCUGUCGAUUACCAGAGGGAACAAGUGAUCAGCACCUGAGUCGAUCACCUCACAGAGGAGCUGAGUGGACGGGGUCAGCUCAGGCCUCCCGGACCAGGGCGGGAAUGUCCUGUGAUGGCAGGUCAGUGUCUUAGCUACCUUUGAGGCACCUCUUCAUAGACUGCAGGGAUCAUUUAGGUAAAAAUAUAGCCUGCUGAUUUUUACACCUUGCUGAAAAUCUUUGCUAAUAGCAAUUGUUAGCUGUGACAAUUACCAUUGUUUUUUAUUUUUCAUUUUGUUCCUUAUUACUGAAGAUAUUCUAUGGAGCUUUAAAGCCUCCUGCAGUAAGAAACUAGUAAAGAAACAUACUGUUUGCAGGAAGGAAAAUUACCCACAAUUCUUGUUCUCUAAGGUGCGUGGUUAUCAUUCCAACAGCCAUUCUCAGCAAUGAACUGAGGACCCUCAGAUGUGUUUCAUUCCUUAGUAUUUUAAUCCUCUCCUCCACUCUCAAUUG
rnacentral:lncRNA from 1 species